CCCUUUAUGGGGAAUAACUCGGGGAAACUCGGGCUAAUACCGCAUAAGAUCAACAAACCUGAGAGUAGUUGAUGGAAGAUGGCCUCUACUUGUAAGCUAUCGCUGAAGGAUGAGCCUGCGCGACAUUAGCUUGAUGGUGGGGUAACGGCCUACCAUGGCGACGAUGUCUAGCCGGUCUGAGAGGAUGAUCGGCCACACUGGAACUGAGACACGGUCCAG
rnacentral:rRNA from 1 species